UCCAGUCCAUCAAAUUAGGUUUCUAGGAACUUCACCAUCUGUACAAAUUCUGACAGAACCAAAGUUAUCAAUCUCGUACCACAUAACGUACCGUUUUCGUUAUUGGUAUGGCGCAAUACUUUCGGCAUACCAUUUCAGAUUAGUCGAUAGUUCUAUUAAAUAUAUACUAUUUAGAUAUUUUGCAAGACUUUAAGAACUUGUCAGGUGUAUUUACAUCAUACAUCUUUUAAGUGAAUUAAACAGUGACUAACAAUAUUCUUAGAUGUAAAUCACAUGAAAUAGACAUUUUUUGGGUUUGUUUAUUGGCAUACUUAUAAUUACCAUGCUCCUCUUAUAACCAAGAGUAAUACCGCUCAGAAAAAGGUACUCCGGUUUUGAUAUACAAAGACCUUUUCAUUUUUGCGCGCGCGCGCGAGAGAGAGAGAGAGAGGUACUACACAAGGUAUUGUAGGCUCCUAGACUUGGCUUUUGUCGGAGGAAAAUGAGGGCAGGAGUGCAGGACAUGCAGGUUGUCAUUACAAAAAGGAGUGCACUUUGAAAGUUGAACAAUGUUAAAUAGCGUACUUCAUGAGUACCGGACAAAACGUGUCCUGGACCCCAAAAAUGUCCUGAAAGUGACGAACGCAGGAGUUAAUCGAUAAAUCCGAUAUAGUCCGGGAUUUUGCGGUAUUUUUCACAGGACAAAACUGGUGGCUAUUGUAUAAUUGUCUCAUUUCUCCUUGAUAAGGGACGUAAUAGUCAGUAUCGAUGCAGUCCAUAACGAAGAGGUCAGGGGAAUUUUGGUAAUUUCAUAUGGUUGCAAGUUAUGGCCCUUAUGCAUUGGAGGGGUAGUCCAUCGGCCACUAAGGCCCUCUCGUCGAGUCCAAUGAUGUAACAUAAAAAAAAUAUACCAAAAUUUAGUAAAAAUUAAGAGAAAGCAACCAAAAAGACAAGGUCAAAAAAGACUCCCAAAAAUUAGCAAAGAAGUGCUAAAUUGAUCUAUUGAUUACAUUACAACACGGUUUUCUUAAUCAUAUUUAGUCAAUGUCCUACUCAAUACUCAAUACUCAACACUCAAUACAAUAUUCAUAGACCUCUAGGCAAUAAGAAUAGUUAGACGUACUCAUUGCUAGGUUUAUGCUUUGUGUUAGACCACUGAGAAUAGGAAUAGUCCUUUGCAUUGGGAAGCCUAAUAAUUAGAGUAACUUCAAGACUGAGACAUGAAUGAAUGAAGGAAAAAAUAAAAAGUCCUGGAGCUUUAAGCUUCAAGAUUGUGUAAUGCAAUCCUCUUUCUUCAGUGUAAUGCUAAAGAGGCCCUAGGAGUUGGUGUGAUGUCUAAGGUUUUCUAGGUGAGGCAUAGGAUUCUUUUCUCUAUCUACUCUUCAAAUACAUAGUUCUGAAAAAAGAAAAAAGAAAAAAAAAAUCCCCUUUUCAUUGUGUUUUGAUCAUCCUCAACCCCACUCCAACUAUGUCCUACAUCAAUUUGCAGGGGUGUCACCAGGAAUAUGCAUCACUGGGGGCACUAUGAAAACAAAAACUAUGGUGACAACCAACCUAUGAUAACAUCCCACCGAACCACAACACCCACGACUUGAUGGUUGUUGGCGAUGCAACAGUGACUUGUGUGUUAUUGUUACAUCAUGAGAAAUGAAGGACAGUUUCCAAAUUUAGGACUACUACUUUGUUCACCCACCUAAUUAAUGGAUGAACAUUACUCGAUGUACACACUAGGUGAAAAUUAAUCACUUUUUGUAAAGUUCACACCAGAUUUUGACUUUGAUAAUCAGAAAAUUCAUUUUGUGAGGCUUGUUUUUGUAACAAUUCAAGCAAGUCCAUUCUCGUUUUGAUAAGAUUUGAUCGAAACAUGGUCUUGCAACAAACAAUUAGAUAGUUUGAUUAAGCACUUAUGCAUGUCUAAUUGAGAUAUAUUUUCACAAAAACAGUUAUAAAAGGUAAAACGUUACAAAAUGGCUUUGGCUACUGAAGUCGGACCUAGUAUGGAUCCUAAAUAAAGUAGAUAAUGUUCAACCUAUUUAAAAUUAUUCAAACAUAAUACCCUUGAUAUUUGCGUAGUUAUGCGAGCUAGUUGGCUCACAAUUGUAGAAAAAGCAAUAAUUGUCUAAUUCACCUAAAACUAAGACUACCAAUUUCCAUAACAAGAAAAACUAGAACUAAAAUUUAAAAAAAAUUGCAAUGGGGCUCGUGACCCCAGUGGGCCUAGAGUGGCUCCACCACUGUCAAUUUGGUAUUAGAGCGAAGGUAACAUCAUGUCUACACGAUCCGAAAGGCCUUUUAAAGUCGGAUUAACUCAGUUCCAGCAUGACGAGAUUCUUUUUAGGAUUGUGGAACAACUUGAUAAUUUGAAGCGGUCCAUGAUUAAUGCAAUGGGUAGUUUGGUAGUUUCAAAAGAUCCAAUGAUUUGGGAUGAUGAAGGGCCUCCUUGGGGUAUUGACUAGACAUGCAUCAUUAAAGGCUGUGACUUAUCAUUUUGGGAAGUUUGACCACAUAUUCAAUGCAUGCAACCAUUAGACAACACAUUCAUUCUAUCUAGCUAUCUAGGGGAUGGAAACAGUCUUUGAUAUUAAACACAUUCUUCCUAUUCAGCCAUCUCGGGAAUGGGAACAGUCUUUGAUAUUAAACACAUUCUUCCUAUUCAGCCAUCUUGGGAAUAGGAACGGUCUUUGGCAUUAAACACAUUAGGAGACAAUAUAUUGAUGUACUUCAAGAGUUUGAGAUAUGGAUUGAAUGAAUGAAAAAUUAGCUUUAAGCUUUUAUGAUUGUGUGAUGCAAUCUCAUUCUUUGGUGUGAUGCUAAAGAGGCCUUAGGUGUGAUGCCUUUGGUAACCAAGGUGUGAGGUCUAGAUCUAUCCUUUUCUAACUCUUUCUCUCCUUCUUACAAAAUAUUGUUCAUGUCUCCUGUUCACAGCCCCAAAACAGCCAUUUUUCCUGUGUUUGAUCAUACUUAGCCCUAUUCCAAAUCUGUCCUACAUCAUAAUUCUAGUUAUCGGCUUAAUUCUUUGGAAAGCGGAUCAGCCCAGAGGAAGGCAAUGAAUAAUCUGAUUGUCAAGGGUAAAAUGGGUUUGAUUGAUGGAUUAAAAACACCCCAAGGACCACCAAGGUUGAAGAAAGUUUGUACUCAAAAUGUUGUUUGUUCCAACGUUCAAAUUCAUGACAAGAGUUUAAAGAAUCAAAAGGCUCAUAUCGGUGAGUCAAAAUAACCCCAACAUUCUUCCGUCAUUGUUCUUAAAGAGGCCACCGGUGUGAUGCCUAAGGUUGUCUUGGUGUGAUGCCUGGAAUUCUUUUCUCUAUCUACUGUUUAGUUACACUUUUCACAGCCUCAAAACAGCCCCUGUUUUGUGUUUUGAUAAUCCUUAACCGUAUUGCAGUUCUAUCGCAUAUCAAUUUGGUAUCAAAGCUUAUGGUUUCACUGCUACGUUCUCACAAAGUGGGAGUAUGUGACACAAUAUGCCUUGAGCCAUGAGAUAGAAGUUCCAGAUUUUGAAGGAAGGAAUGAUCUUUGGAUGUUCUCCAAUGGGAUUGCAUCAAUUGAGGACUUCCUUGAAUACUAUGAGACGACGGAUGAUCGAAGAAUUUGCUGAGGUUAAACUUCUAGGCUUGGUGUAAAUGUGGUGGUAGGACAUAUUAGAAGAUCGGAAUUGCCACCAACAAACACAUGGCAAGCAAUGAAAGCUAAGCUCCAAGAGAAGUAUAUGCCUUCACAUUGUCAUGUAAAUGUUUGUGAGAAAUGCGUUACUUCAAGACGUGUUGAGGCCAUUAAAACUCAUAAUAGAAUCCUUGAUAGCUCACGCCUAAAAAUUACUAGACUUGACACUAUGUCAAGCCCAUUACAAAACUGCCACAACCAAGACAAGCUAGUGUGGUGCAUGCACAUCAAGUGACUCCAAAGCUGAAAGGAGUUGUUGAACAUGCCCAUUCUACGAAGUUGAUAUCACAAGAAGAUGAUUAUGUCUCAAAACUGCCCAAGGUGAAAGAACAUCAGAUUUUCUUUAACACAUUCACAAUCUUCGAUUGCCCUACUCGAAUAUGCAGUGUGCUUCUACCAGUGACAAACAUAGUUGUCACGGGCGAAAGGCGCACCGAGGCGCGAAGUCCUGUUGGGCCUGAGGCGCGAGGCGCAAGGUGAGGCGCGCGCCUUUUUGAAGCGAGGCGCACCUAUGUGGAAAAAAUAGCACACACUAAUAUUUCAAGUAAUAAGCACUAAGCCAAUGAGUUUACCAUCCAAAAGAUACAUAAAAACAUCCAUGAAAUGUCAAAUAGUCACCAAUCUCGCAUAGAGAAAAACUAAAAUGUCAAAAAAUUCGAACUUGUU